rnacentral:rRNA from 1 species
GAGUUUGAUCCUGGCUCAGAACGAACGCUGGCGGCAGGCUUAACACAUGCAAGUCGAGCGCCCCGCAAGGGGAGCGGCAGACGGGUGAGUAACACGUGGGGAUCUGCCCGAUGGUACGGAAUAGCUCCGGGAAACUGGAAUUAAUACCGUAUGGAGCCCGCAAGGGGAAAGAUUUAUCGCCAUCGGAUGAACCCGCGUCGGAUUAGCUAGUUGGUGUGGUAAAGGCGCACCAAGGCGACGAUCCGUAGCUGGUCUGAGAGGAUGACCAGCCACACUGGGACUGAGACACGGCCCAGACUCCUACGGGAGGCAGCAGUGGGGAAUAUUGGACAAUGGGCGCAAGCCUGAUCCAGCCAUGCCGCGUGAGUGAUGAAGGCCUUAGGGUUGUAAAGCUCUUUCGCCGACGAAGAUAAUGACGGUAGUCGGAGAAGAAGCCCCGGCUAACUUCGUGCCAGCCGCCGCAGUAAU